GGCGGUGAAUCGGGUUGAAAGUGAAAGUCGCCAAAAAGUGGCGGAAUGCUCUCGAAACCAAUUCACUUGAGUGAGACAGAGGAGAGUGGAAUUUCGUGUGUAGGGGUGAAAUCCGUAGAUCUACGAAGGAACGCCAAAAGCGAAGGCAGCUCUCUGGGUCCCUACCGACGCUGGGGUGCGAAAGCAUGGGGAGCGAACAUGAUUAGAUACCCUGGUAGUCCAUGCCGUAAACGAUGAGUGCUCGCCCUUGGUCUACGCGGAUCAGGGGCCCAGCUAAUGCGUGAAACACUCUGCCUGGGGAGUACGGUCGCAAGAUCAAAACUCAAAGGAAUUGACGGGGGCCUGCACAAGCGGUGGAGCAUGUGGUUUUAUUCGAUACAACACACAAAACCUUACCAGCCCUUGACAUAUGAACAACAAAACUUGUCCUUAAUAGGAUGGUACUGACUUUCAUACAGGUGCUGCAUGGCUGUCGUCAGCUCGUGUUGUGAGAUGUUUGGUCAAGUCCUAUAACGAGCGAAACCCUCAUUUUGUGUUACUGAGACAUGCGCCUAAGGAGAAAUUGCCACCGAGUGACGUGCCAGCGCUACUACUUGAUUGAGUGCCAGCACGUAGUUGUGCUUUCAGCAAGAAUUUCACCAUUGGGAGCCAGUGCCUUUCGAAGCACUUUCACGUGUGAACCGAAGUCGUCUUGCCCAAGACCCACGGAGACCUACCUAUAGUGACGUCAAAGUACCAGUGAGCAUGGAGGUUUGGUUGAAAUUGGUUACGAUGACGUCGAGUUGGCGGCGGAGGAAGACUCGGCAUGAAGGCCAGAAAAUGGUGUGGAACGUAGUGGUAAUAGUACGCGCCCCGCUCCGAAACAAAGAAAAAGGUGCAUGCCGCACUCACGAGGGACUGCCAGUGAGAUACUAGAGGAAGGUGGGGAUGACGUCAAGUCCGCAUGGCCCUUAUGGGCUGGGCCACACACGUGCUACAAUGGCAAUGACAAUGGGAAGCAAGGCUGUAAGGCGGAGCGAAUCCGGAAAGAUUGCCUCAGUUCGGAUUGUUCCCUGCAACUCGGGAACAUGAAGUUGAAAUCGCUAGUAAUCGCGGAUCAGCAUGCCGCGGUGAAUAUGUACCUGGGCCCUGUACACACCGCCCGUCACACCCUGGGAAUUGGUUUCGCCCGAAGCAUCGGACCAAUGAUCACCCAUGACUUAUGUGUACCACUAGUGCCACAAAGGCCUUUGGUGGUCUUAUUGGCGCAUACCACGGGGGGUCUUCGACUGGGGUGAAGUCGUAACAAGGUAGCCGUAGGGGAACCUGUGGCUGGAUUGAAUCCUUC
rnacentral:ncRNA from 1 species